ACGCGUAGGCGGUGCGGUAAGUUCACCUGUGAAACCUCCGGGCUCAACUCGGAGCCUGCAGGCGAAACUGCCGUGCUGGAGUGGUGGGAGGGGUGCGUGGAAUUCCCGGUGUAGCAGUGAAAUGCGUAGAGAUCGGGAGGAACACCUGUGGCGAAAGCGGCGCACUGGACCACAACUGACGCUGAGGCGCGAAAGCUAGGGGAGCAAACAGGAUUAGAUACCCUGGUAGUCCUAGCCCUAAACGAUGGAUGCUUGGUGUAGCCGGUACCCAAUCCGGCUGUGCCGCAGCUAACGCGAUAAGCAUCCCGCCUGGGAGUACGGUCGCAAGGCUAGAA
rnacentral:rRNA from 1 species